rnacentral:lncRNA from 13 species
GGAUUGGGGUGACCCUAAAGCUCCUCCCAUCCCAAACCAUUCCAUGAUCCCAAAAUCCCGUGAAUUCCCUGCUCUCAGCGCCCUCAUUCCAACCCUUCCCGAGCAGAUUUGGGAGCCCUGGUCCAGCCCCCCGUUCAGGACCCCAUCCCAAAAAUCCCGGCCCUACAGAGGGAAAGGAAGGAUCCCGAGACCCCCCCAGGCCUGGACCAAUCCGAGACCACCUUCAGCCAGCCAGAGCCAUCCCAAGCGCCGGGAGUGCCAGAAGAAAGGGAAUUCCUGGGAUAAAGGGGCAAUUCCUGGGAUAAAGGGGCAAUUCCUGGGAUAAAGGGACAAUUCCUGGGAUAAAGGGGCAAUUCCUGGGAUAAAGGGACAAUUCCAGCCCCUCCCAACUCCCGCUUCUCCUCCUCCCCAGCUGGACUCGCUCCCGGGUGACUCCUGAGGGCCCCCAGGGGCGGCCCAGUGGCUUCCAGGCCACCCCGAGGUCCCGCCGGUGUCCCCUGUGCGAGGACAGGGCGGGAACAACACAAUAAAGUGGGAUUUUAUCCCAAAAAACCCUUGGAAUUUCUCUGCCGGGACACGCAGCCGCCUCUGUCAUUUUUUCCCCCGUGUUUUGGGGCAGUUCUGGGGGAUUUGAGGUGCGGGGGAAGGUUUGGGGGUUCGUGGAUGGGAAAAAAACCCUAAAAGGGUGGAAUAACCCAGCCCCCACCCCAAAAAAACCCCCCAGGGCUCCUCAGGUGAUCGAGGGGCUCAGAGAAGAAUUUUUUUUGGGGCAACCCUAAAAACCAGGACAGGGCCUAAGGGGUCGGGGCUGGUGUGGGAUGAGCACAGGAGGAGUUGGGCAUCCACCCCAAAUCCUCGGCCCCAAAAUUCCCGAGUUUUUGGCCCCACAGAUCCCAAAAGUUUGGUUCUGUAGAUCCCUAAACUUUAGUGGCAAAGCCCCCAAAUCCUUGGCCUUAGAAACGCCAUACCUCGACCCCAGAGACCCCAAAUCCUCGGCUCCACAAACCCCAAAUUCUGCCCUGUAAAUUCCAAAUCCUGUUGGCCCCACAGACCCCACACCUUGGCCCCACAGACCCCAAAUCCUUGGCCCCACAGACUCCAAAAUCCGCCCCCCAAAUUCCCAAAUCCUUGGCUCCACAGACCCCAAACUUGUUACCCCAUAAAUCCCAAAUCCUCGACCCCACAGCCCCCAAACUCUUGGCCCUCACAGCCCCCAAGCCAAAAGGAAUUAAAAUUUUAAAAAAAAAGCCAAAACGGGUUCAUUUUAUUUAAAAAAAAAAAAAAAAAAAUUGUACAAUUGUAGUUCCUCUAUGAAAAAAAAACCAAAAACAAAAGCAAAAAACAACCGAACACCAACAGAAAAAAUUCCUACCACUGCCGGAACGCUCCGAUCCACUGCAAAAAACCGGGAAAAUCCAAGCUUUUUCUUUUUUUUAUAUAUAUUAAAAACCAUUACUUUGACAUUUUACAACUUUCUACACGCAUGCACAAAGGUCUCAGCUCGGCGGGAAAACGAAAUCCAAACCCAAGCCCAAAAACAGAACCAAAAAUAAAGGGAUUUUUUUAUCUCCCGGAAUUCCCGGAUGGAAAAUCUCCCCCAGCCCAGGCAGAUCCAGCC